UACGUAGGCAGCGAGCGUUGUUCGGAGUUACUGGGCGUAAAGGGUGUGUAGGCGGUUGUUUAAGUUUGGUGUGAAAUCUCCCGGCUCAACUGGGAGGGUGCGCCGAAUACUGAAUGACUAGAGUGCGGGAGAGGAAAGUGGAAUUCCUGGUGUAGCGGUGAAAUGCGUAGAUACCAGGAGGAACACCGGUGGUGUAGACGGCUUUCUGGACCGUAACUGACGCUGAGACACGAAAGCGUGGGUAGCAAACAGG
rnacentral:rRNA from 1 species